rnacentral:rRNA from 1 species
UACGAAGGGGGGCUAGCGUUGCUCGGAAUCACUGGGCGUAAAAACGCACGUAGGCGGCUUUUUUAAGUCAGAGGUGAAAUCCUGGAGCUCAACUCCAGAACUGCCUUUGAUACUGGAGAGCUGAGUCCGGGAGAGGUGAGUGGAACUGCGAGUGUAGAGGUGAAAUUCGUAGAUAUUCGCAAGAACACCAGUGGCGAAGGCGGCUCACUGGCCCGGUACUGACGCUGAGGUGCGAAAGCGUGGGGAGCAAACAGG